rnacentral:lncRNA from 1 species
UAAUUCAUAACCGCUGUUGUCUGCCAUACACCCUUGUUGGCAUUGCGUGCCGCAUUUGUGUAUCUGGAGUUGAUGUUAGCAACACGUACAGGAAAAAUGAACCGAGGAACGAGACAGAUUCCAAAUAUCGAAGAUUUGCCGCAGCGUCGACUGUUUACACGAGAAGAAACACUUCUUGAAUUAGAAACAAUUUCUUCUGAGGAUCAUGACAGUUUACAAGCCGGCAAUAGUUCAACAAUUGUCGAUAUAUCACAUAGUAUACACGCACUUGGCCAUCGUGGUCAUCCUCGGCCCAGCAGCAGUGGGUCUUCCUCGUUCAACGCACUCAGGUUUCCACAAUCCACCUCUUCGCCAUCUCCGAGUACCGAUGAGAGUGACACAGAAAGUCAAGAAUCCAUAGUAUCUUUACUUUCUGCGAGGAGUGGACAGACCUCAUCGUUACAUGGUACUUCGGCAGGAAACAUUUCAGUGGCUUCAAGUUCAAGUGCACCAUCUGAGAUCAUUCUGCUCAUGUUGUACAUGGAAAACAAGAAACUCGAGGAACAACUCAAAAAGCAAAAUGAGGAGCUCCAAGAGAUAAGACAAAAUAUGCGACAAGGGGAGGUAAAUUAGAGAGGAAAACGUGUUGCUGUUCCUCGUGAAUGUUCGCAAUCUGUGAGGGACGUGUACGGAAAGUUGUACAGAGAUGGGAUUGGAGGAUUCAACCCGGCACAAAUGUAUACGUAUCGAAUUUAUCAUACAAGAGGCAUGUGACAUUUCCGUCAAUUUGUUUUCCUCUUUAAACUAGUGGUUCACAGUUUGCUACCAUUUUGAUAUUACCAAAAUUGACCAACGGACUUUGCAAAUUAAAAUAGAGAUGAUUUUACACUGUAAAUUAUCAUAUGCAAAUGCUUACUUUUCAUAGCAAAACUUCCAGAGAAAAUGAAGCAACCAUUUCGACGUUAACCCGAGAAGUUAGAACUGUUCGUGGACGAGAAAAGUGGAGUUCUGCUCAUAUACGAAAAGCUGCCAAAACCUACAUGUACUGUAUGUCGCUUCGUGACAAGCAGCGCCGGAUGGAGCGUGGAACGUACGAUCAGCACUUGAAGGGAAAUCAGCAAUUUCCCUUCAAUUUCUUUCUUUUAAACAGAAACUACACAGGCGACAAAGCGCCCUGAAAACAUUACAGGCUUCCCAAGAGCUCAAAAAGGAAGCCCUCGAGGUGUUGACAAUAGACUACAUGUCUUCCGAGGAGAGUAUGUCGGAGGGCGAGGAGGAUCGCUCAUCUGGAUGUAAAACCAGAAGGCUCCUGAAACUGCCAUGGGAGCGGUCAAAGCUGGCAUCACUUAAACAUAAGUGAUGUUUGCACACAUGCACACUUUGCAAAGACCGCUCCUGCAGUAGUUUCAAGGUUGCUUCCUGAAUUUGUCAUCUCGAAUGUGCCUUCCUCUCGCCCUCCGCCAUCAGUUGAUCGAGGCUCCUGGGCAGUGCAAACGCCGCAAAAUUAGCUAUAGGUCUACAUAUAUUUAGUAACGAUUCCUGUAUUUUUUGUCUAUUCAUAAUCGUUAAAUAAAAUAUUAAGAUUGAACUCGAUUUUUAGAGAGAACAGGCAAAAUAAAAGCUUUUGUUGUUUGUUGCUUUAUGUUAAGCUACUUUCGGGUUUAUUGUAUUCUAAAACCAUUCACCUCUUCUGCGCUCCGCCAACCUCAGUGUUAUUUAAAGGAUUUUGGAAAUAAAAAAGCCAUUUGAUUUUGUUUUACACAUUGGAAACGCCACUUAAUCGGAAAAAAAACGAUUUAUGAUCAAGGGCAAGUGAAAAAUCUGGAAAAAGAUUUCUUUUUUUAUAUACUGUUGUUAAAUUGGGACUGGAUUUAUAAUUCCCUUGAAUCUGAAUUGAAAGAGUUCUCCCCACAUUUUCUUUGUGAUUUCUAGUUUCCAUUCUUAUUUGAAGUUUUCUAAAAAACGAUGAGCACUAGGUGUCCGCUUCGUAUUUUAUUCCUUUGAACUUGGUGCGCCGUGUUUUAUGUUCGUUUACAUGUAUAUAGCUUUAUUUUGUGUUGUGAAUCACAUGAAAUGUCAGACCAUGUUUUUCGACUCAAUUAACUCAUACCAUGGGUCUAUUAUGAUACAUUCACAAAAAGUGGGCAAGUGGACAAAUGACUCUAUUAAGGCAUUGCUAAUGCAUGAUAACUUUGUAGAUGUACAUGUACAGUGUACUUUUAUGUGCAAAUGAGGUCGAAUAACGGAAGUGCACAAAUGCACGUGGUUCCAGCAGGUUGGUACAGAAACGGCCCGUAGUCGACCACUGGGAGACAGAACAAGGACAUAUUAACUCCCAAGAGCACUGAGGUGGGACAGCCUGACCCCAGCUGAAACUGGAGGUCAUCCAGUAGCUUUAACAAAAUUCACCCCCACACACCCAGGCAUACACGCGUACACUGGAUCUUAAGACGCGCAAACAUGAAUAACUACAAAUAAAUUUUAAUUUGAUGCAUUGGUACCAUUGUCAAUGAAUGAAACAAAAUAUACAAGUACCCACAAAGUUAAAACGAAAUUUUUGGAAAAGAUUUUUAUUUAAGUUUGUGCAGUUUGGUAGGUUCACUUGCUUAUGAGAUGAUUGGAUGUACCUGGAUUUGAAAUAAAAUAAAACAUCGGGGAAAAAGA